UACGUAGGUGGCAAGCGUUGUCCGGAAUUACUGGGUGUAAAGGGAGCGUAGGCGGGAAGGCAAGUUGGAUGUGAAAUCCCCGGGCUCAACUCGGGAGCUGCAUCCAAAACUGUUUUUCUUGAGUGAAGUAGAGGCAGGCGGAAUUCCUAGUGUAGCGGUGAAAUGCGUAGAUAUUAGGAGGAACACCAGUGGCGAAGGCGGCCUGCUGGGCUUUAACUGACGCUGAGGCUCGAAAGCGUGGGGAGCAAACAGG
rnacentral:rRNA from 1 species